UACGGUGGGAGCAAGCGUUGUUCGGAUUUACUGGGCGUAAAGGGCGCGUAGGCGGCCAGCACAAGUCAGUUGUGAAAUCUCCGGGCUUAACUCGGAGAGGUCAACUGAUACUGUGCGGCUAGAGUGCAGAAGGGGCAACUGGAAUUCUCGGUGUAGCGGUGAAAUGCGUAGAUAUCGAGAGGAACACCUGCGGCGAAGGCGGGUUGCUGGGCUGACACUGACGCUGAACUGCGAAAGCUAGGGGAGCGAACGGG
rnacentral:rRNA from 1 species